AGAAUCUCAGUGGAACUCAGAACAUAAUUGAUGUCAGGAAUCUGUCAACUCAAACAUUCACUGAAGGCCUACUAUGCAUAAGGAAUUGCGCAAGACCCCAGAGGAGGUUGAGUGACAAACUACUGAAAGAAAUGAGGAUUAUGUUACUUGGUGGAGGAAAAGAGAACUUCAGAGGAGAUACGAGAACUGUCUAAAAAAAAAAAACACAUGAAGGGCUUCCUGGCAGAAACAGAUUUGAUUUAUCCUCAGAGGCUCCAGAAGGCAGAGUUUAAUCAACUAGUUCAAUUCCUGAGAGGCUGAUUUUGGCUAAAAGAAGGAUGAAUUUUCUGAUAUAACUAUCCAGUAACAGUGAGGUAGCAAGUUCCUUCUCACCGAAUGUGUCAAACAAGGUUUGGGGGUGCUGUGGAGGGAUUCACAGAAGUUUUAUAGUUGGGGUUUGAGAUUUAGGAACAUACUACGGUUCAGAUUAACUCUGGAUUAAGGUCAAACAUACAAGAAAUCAGACCAGGCUGGGUGCGGUGGCUCACGCCUGUAAUCCCAGCACUUUGGGAGGCGGAGGCGUGUGGAUCACGAGAUAAAAGAUAAUGCCUGGACAUGCAGACUUCCCAUAAAUCCCACUGGUGUGGAGAACCCUUAAACACAGCCAGUUCAUAAGGAGAG